GCAACUUGUAACCAUAAAAAGUCAAAAGCGUCUCGGUAACUGGUGGACUUGAUGUUUGGUCUCAGGAUGGAUUAGCGACAUAGAGCAAUCAUUAUAUUAGCCUUUAGUAAGUCAAAGAUGAUGAUGAACUCAAGAUUCUAUUGUUUUCAUCAAUUAUUCCAUUUUCUCUGCUUUCCUAAGACUAACUUAGCGACAGAGGGAAGCACAGUGAAAUUAACCCUUUCAAUAACAAUAGCUAUUGUAAUGAACAGCAUGAAAU
rnacentral:misc_RNA from 1 species